rnacentral:rRNA from 1 species
AAGUUUUAACGCCGAAAGAUGAGCCCGCACUUGAUUAGCUAGUUGGUAAGGUAAAAGCUUACCAAGGCAAUGAUCAAUAGCUGUUCUUAGAGGAAGACCAGCCACAUUGGGACUGAGACACGGCCCAGACUCCUACGGGAGGCAGCAGUGGGGAAUCUUGCACAAUGGGGGAAACCCUGAUGCAGCGAUGCCGCGUGAGUCAAGAAGGCCUUUGGGUUGUAAAACUCUUUCGUC